GCUCCCUUCGUCUAGCGGUUAGGACGCCUGCCUCUCACGCCGGUAACAGGGGUUCGAUUCCCCUAGGGAGCGCCA
rnacentral:tRNA from 1 species